UACGAAGGGGGCUAGCGUUGUUCGGAAUUACUGGGCGUAAAGCGCGCGCAGGCGGUUCUUUAAGUCAGGGGGGAAAGCCCAGAGCUCAACUCUGGAAUUGCCUUUGAAACUAGAGGACUUGAGUACGGGAGAGGUGAGUGGAAUUCCGAGUGUAGAGGUGAAAUUCGUAGAUAUUCGGAAGAACACCAGUGGCGAAGGCGGCUCACUGGCCCGUUACUGACGCUCAGGCGCGACAGCGUGGGGAGCAAACAGG
rnacentral:rRNA from 1 species